AUGGAAUCGAAAGAAGCAGCAGCAGCAGCGCAAGCGGAAGAGGAUCUCCUCCGCGACUUUGAGCGAAUCCUCCAUGACGACCCCCUCAUAGACGAGGUCGGGUUCCUGCAUCCCACACAGUUCCACUCGCUACUCGUAGACAGCACCGACAAAUCCACAUCCCAAUACUUCUGGUGCGUAGACCACAAGCUUGCCGUCUCCUCCAGCAUCCUGCCCGACCUCUACCGUGCCGCUCGCCGCGCACACUCCAACGCGACACUCAAUCCCUCGUCAUCACCAUCUGCAUCCGAUGCUGCCUUGAUCAUGACACACAGCAAGGCGCUGCUCAUACUCUGCGCUGACUUGCUCACCGCAUGGAACUCCAGGAAGAUGGUGCUGUCCACCAAUUUUAAUCUCUCGCACCUCAAGGAUGAGCUGCGAUUGUGUGCCUUGAUCCUCUCCUACUCGCCAAAGAAUGAGAGUACCUGGAGCCACAGGAGAUGGGUGAUAAAAAAUCUUGCACAACACCUUCAGGACAUGCCGGAGCUUAUAGACAAGGAAUCUCUACUCGUAAAAGACAUGGCAGAGAAAUCAAAGAUGAACUACCGCGCGUGGAGGCAUCGAUGCUGGCUUAUUCCUUACAUGAAAACAAAACAGGUGCUAGAUGAGUUGAACAAGUCAAAAAAAUGGGCUGAGUUGCAUGUUGCUGACAACUGCAGCUUUCACUACCGCAGGUCCCUGCUGCUUGCAUUACUAGAUGGUGCAGCGAACAGAGAAGAUUCCCUUAUUUGCCAGUCAGAAGCUUAUCUAAUGUGGAAGGAGGAACUGAGGUGGAAUGAGACGCUCAUCAGACGAUACCAAGGGAGAGAGUCGUUGUGGAACCAUCGCCGGUUCCUCUCACAGUGGUGGGUACAACACUUGCUCAGCUGCGAGGAAACCAGCCUGUCAAAUGAGUCCCUGGCAGACCUCUUCCUAUCCCAAGAGAUACACCUCCUGUCAGACUGCCUGGGUGCUCCUGGCGAUGAGUUUGGCGAAACACGCGUUCAGGUGGAGCUUGCAGCGCUCUACAUUCUUUGGAUAUCAGAGCAAGACGCGGCAGUGAAAGGGAAGGUGGAAGAGAGGUUGAAGUCGGUGGGAAGCCUGAAGGAGGUGUUGGCAAGGGCCUGCCCGGAGAAGAGCAGACUGUGGACUCAUUUGCUUCACUGCUGA
rnacentral:rRNA from 1 species